rnacentral:rRNA from 1 species
CUUAGUGGCGGACGGGUGAGUAACGCGUGGAUAACCUGCCGUAUACAGGGGGAUAACACUUAGAAAUAGGUGCUAAUACCGCAUAAGCGCACGGUUCCGCAUGGAACAGUGUGAAAAACUCCGGUGGUAUACGAUGGAUCCGCGUCUGAUUAGCCAGUUGGCGGGGUAACGGCCCACCAAAGCGACGAUCAGUAGCCGGCCUGAGAGGGUGAACGGCCACAUUGGGACUGAGACACGGCCCAAACUCCUACGGGAGGCAGCAG